CUGGCAGAUCCACAGGGUUAGCUUCUGUGUAGACUGAGGGGUCAGAGGGCCAACCAGCCAAACUGAAACACUUUGGGGAAUGAAAAGAGACACUGUGAUUACUGUGGGACAAAAGGCAGAACCCAGAAGAGACCUGGGCAGGCGGCAGAAGGAUUGCUCUGGAUGACUCAAUACCCAGGGACACAAAAUUAGCCUGAAGAGUGUCCCAUGGAUCCUCAAGGCUCUGAAGCCCUUUCCUGUUUGGUGAACCCUCCUCCCCACAUUCCCACAGCAAGCUUGGUGGGAAGCAAAGCCUCUUACUACAGAGGCUGCAAGUACCAGACACCUGCUCAUAUGAGACUUUGCAGCUCUGGCAUGGACACAAGACCCGAGUGCGAACCAUAAAAGGCCUGUUGCAAACCAUAAAUCUGGGGACAACUUGAGCAUCUUCUUUGGCAGCAAAAGAUCACAAGAGCGACCUAGAAUUUCAAGGGCUAAAAAGAGAAAGUGAAUUGUUCAUCCCUCUGUAUGCAGCCAGAUUUUGGUUCUCCUCCAUACAGAAUUACAAAACAAGAUCAGGGAAGGCUGGCUGCCAGCAAACUAAAUAAAAAGUCCGUCAACAGUUAAACUUCUACAUCAGUCGGUUUCAUAAUUUAAGCUUGAAACUCAAAAAAAUCUGAGCCUUCCCUUUCCUGAUGUUAUUAUUGCUGGUAAUCUGAGUAUAGAGAGUAAGAAAAUG